rnacentral:tRNA from 1 species
GCUGUGGCUCAGUGGAAGAGCUGCUGCUUGGCAUGCGGAAGAUCCCAAGUUCAAUCCCUGGUGCCUGCA